UCGGGAUAUAGCGCAGCUUGGUAGCGCGCCUGCUUUGGGAGCAGGAUGUCGCAGGUUCAAAUCCUGCUAUCCCG
rnacentral:tRNA from 1 species